rnacentral:rRNA from 1 species
UGGUGACUUAUUCAAAGUUGUUAGACGCAUUUACAUUCCGAACAUGCUGGUUAAAGGCUUUGAGGCUCGUUGUACUUGAAAAGGGAGACCGAGUUGUUGCCAGUG